GUCCCAGGGGGCGGGGCAGAGGAAAAGGCGCCGGCCCCACAGUGCUCCCCGCUUCCGCCCAGUCCAGCCCGGGCCGGCUGACCGGGUCCGACACAGUCUCCUGGACCAGGCUCCCUCCAUCCUCACCCCUCCCCCAGCUUCCCGCCGCCACUCACCGAACCGGAACCGGCUGCCAUGCGAAGGGGUUUCCGGCCGGGCGCGGAACGCAAAACCCGGGAACCGCCGCGAACCGGAACCGCCUUCACAGCACCGGAAGAGUCGCUAGGAGGCAGCCAUGCAUAAAGACGAGUUUCAUCUGAAAUUUUUCAUGUGUGUGAUUCAGUCUCGCCAGUUAGUCAGGACUCCUCAGAGAACAGCUGGGGAAGCUUCUACUUCCAGCAUGCUCAUACCAAAGCCACCACCAAAGACAGACAUCUUGAAGAGUCUAGAUACUAUGGAUGAUCCAGACACCGUGGGAAGCAUACCUGUUUUCAAAACUGAAUGUGCAGAGGUAGAGAUACAAGUAAGCAAGAGGAAGAGGGCAGUGGUAAAAGCAAGAGGAGACCCGACUGUGGAGACAAUGAAGCAAAGGGAAGAGUGGAUCAUGACCCAUGAAGAGCACCAUGCAGCCAAAACCCUGGGGAUUGGCAAAGCCAUUGCUGUCUUAACCUCUGGUGGAGAUGCCCAAGAGAUGGGACGGGAUCGGCCAGGUGCAGUGGCUCACACCUGUAAUCCCAGGACUUUGGGAGGCCGAGGCGGGCAGAUCACCCGAGGUUGGGAGUUCGAGACCAGCCUGACCAACAUGGAGAAACCCCGUCUCUACUAAAAAUACAAAAUUAGCUGGGCGUGGUGGUGCAUGCCUGUAAUCCCAGCCACUUGGGAGGCUGAGGCAGGAGAAUCGCUUGAACCCGGGAGGCAGAGGUUGCGGUAUGAAUGCUGCUGUCAGGGCUGUGGUUCGAGUUGGUAUCUUCACCGGUGCCCGUGUCUUCUUUGUCCAUGAGGGUUAUCAAGGCCUGGUGGAUGGUGGAGAUCACAUCAAGGAAGCCACCUGGGAGAGCGUUUCGAUGAUGCUUCAGCUGGGAGGCACGGUGAUUGGAAGUGCCCGGUGCAAGGACUUUCGGGAACGAGAAGGACGACUCCGAGCUGCCUACAACCUGGUGAAGCGUGGGAUCACCAAUCUCUGUGUCAUUGGGGGUGAUGGCAGCCUCACUGGGGCUGACACCUUCCGUUCUGAGUGGAGUGACUUGUUGAGUGACCUCCAGAAAGCAGGUAAGAUCACAGAUGAGGAGGCUACGAAGUCCAGCUACCUGAACAUUGUGGGCCUGGUUGGGUCAAUUGACAAUGACUUCUGUGGCACCGAUAUGACCAUUGGCACUGACUCUGCCCUGCAUCGGAUCAUGGAAAUUGUAGAUGCCAUCACUACCACUGCCCAGAGCCACCAGAGGACAUUUGUGUUAGAAGUAAUGGGCCGCCACUGUGGAUACCUGGCCCUUGUCACCUCUCUGUCCUGUGGGGCCGACUGGGUUUUUAUUCCUGAAUGUCCACCAGAUGACGACUGGGAGGAACACCUUUGUCGCCGACUCAGCGAGACAAGGACCCGUGGUUCUCGUCUCAACAUCAUCAUUGUGGCUGAGGGUGCAAUUGACAAGAAUGGAAAACCAAUCACCUCAGAAGACAUCAAGAAUGUUCGUAUGAAUGAAGCCAGAGAGGCCUUAGAAUCCAUAGCCCAUUCCCUUCUGGCUUCUGAGUCUCCUGACAUUGCUUCUCCCCUUGGUCCUUCUGCACAUCUCUCCCUGGUUCCCUGCCCCUGAUUGCCUCCCACAAAGAACCAUUACAAGACAAGAGGCUGAGCUGUCCAUGGUUUACCCAAGUCUCUGCUUGUUUUCUUCCUUUGACUCUGCGUAACCCUCUCUCUGUCCCUCUGUUGGUCCCUUCAGCUGGUGGUUAAGCGUCUGGGAUAUGACACCCGGGUUACUGUCUUGGGGCAUGUGCAGAGGGGUGGGACGCCAUCAGCCUUUGACAGAAUUCUGGGCAGCAGGAUGGGUGUGGAAGCAGUGAUGGCACUUUUGGAGGGGACCCCAGAUACCCCAGCCUGUGUAGUGAGCCUCUCUGGUAACCAGGCUGUGCGCCUGCCCCUCAUGGAAUGUGUCCAGGUGACCAAAGAUGUGACCAAGGCCAUGGAUGAGAAGAAAUUUGACGAAGCCCUGAAGCUGAGAGGCCGGAGCUUCAUGAACAACUGGGAGGUGUACAAGCUUCUAGCUCAUGUCAGACCCCCGGUAUCUAAGAGUGGUUCGCACACAGUGGCUGUGAUGAACGUGGGGGCUCCGGCUGCAGGCAUGAAUGCUGCUGUUCGCUCCACUGUGAGGAUUGGCCUUAUCCAGGGCAACCGAGUGCUCGUUGUCCAUGAUGGUUUCGAGGGCCUGGCCAAGGGGCAGAUAGAGGAAGCUGGCUGGAGCUAUGUUGGGGGCUGGACUGGCCAAGGUGGCUCUAAACUUGGGACUAAAAGGACUCUACCCAAGAAGAGCUUUGAACAGAUCAGUGCCAAUAUAACUAAGUUUAACAUUCAGGGCCUUGUCAUCAUUGGGGGCUUUGAGGCUUACACAGGGGGCCUGGAACUGAUGGAGGGCAGGAAGCAGUUUGAUGAGCUCUGCAUCCCAUUUGUGGUCAUUCCUGCUACAGUCUCCAACAAUGUCCCUGGCUCAGACUUCAGCGUUGGGGCUGACACAGCACUCAAUACUAUCUGCACAACCUGUGACCGCAUCAAGCAGUCAGCAGCUGGCACCAAGCGUCGGGUGUUUAUCAUUGAGACUAUGGGUGGCUACUGUGGCUACCUGGCUACCAUGGCUGGACUGGCAGCUGGGGCCGAUGCUGCCUACAUUUUUGAGGAGCCCUUCACCAUUCGAGACCUGCAGGCAAAUGUUGAACAUCUGGUGCAAAAGAUGAAAACAACUGUGAAAAGGGGCUUGGUGUUAAGGAAUGAAAAGUGCAAUGAGAACUAUACCACUGACUUCAUUUUCAACCUGUACUCUGAGGAGGGGAAGGGCAUCUUCGACAGCAGGAAGAAUGUGCUUGGUCACAUGCAGCAGGGUGGGAGCCCAACCCCAUUUGAUAGGAAUUUUGCCACUAAGAUGGGCGCCAAGGCUAUGAACUGGAUGUCUGGGAAAAUCAAAGAGAGUUACCGUAAUGGGCGGAUCUUUGCCAAUACUCCAGAUUCGGGCUGUGUUCUGGGGAUGCGUAAGAGGGCUCUGGUCUUCCAACCAGUGGCUGAGCUGAAGGACCAGACAGAUUUUGAGCAUCGAAUCCCCAAGGAACAGUGGUGGCUGAAACUGAGGCCCAUCCUCAAAAUCCUAGCCAAGUACGAGAUUGACUUGGACACUUCAGACCAUGCCCACCUGGAGCACAUCACCCGGAAGCGGUCCGGGGAAGCUGCCGUCUAAACCUCUCUGGAGUGAGGGGAAUAGAUUACCUGAUCAUGGUCAGCUCACACCCUAAUAAGUCCACAUCUUCUCAGUGUUUUAGCUGUUUUUUUCAUUAGGUUUCCUUUUAUUCUGUACCUUGCAGCCAUGACCAGUUCUGGCCAGGAGCUGGAGGAGCAGGCAGUGGGUGGGAGCUCCUUUUAGGUAGAAUUUAACAUGACUUCUGCCCCAGCUUUAUCUGUCACACAAGGCUGGGCACCUCUAGUGCUACUGCUAGAUAUCACUUACUCAGUUAGAAUUUUCCUAAAAAUAAGCUUUAUUUAUUUCUUUGUGAUAACAAAGAGUCUUGGUUCCUCUACUACUUUUACUACAGUGACAAAUUGUAACUACACUAAUAAAUGCCAACUGGUCACUGUGCUUUUGCUUCUCCUGUUAUCAUCUUCCUAAGUGGAAUGUAAUACUGUCAGCCCCAUGUAUCAGACACUUGUCUGAUGAAGCAGUAAAGACGUUAAGGGUAUCACAGGGGGUGGAGGAAGGGAUUAUCUCUAGUACACUACUUGCUGGCUGUCUGAAAAAUUGUCACUGCCAAACUCUAAAAACAGUUCUAAAUAGUGACUGAGAAGGUUUGUUGCUGGAGUCAGGGAAUAAGGCAGCCAAAUACUCUUUGCACAGUUCUUUAGUGGGAAGAGAAAUUAACAAUAAAUAUCAAGCACUGUG